AUAUUUGCUAAUCUUAAAAAGUUACUCUUAGUUCGGAUUGGAAUCUGCAACUCGAUUCUAUGAAGUAGGAAUCGCUAGUAAUCGUAAAUCAGAAUGUUACGGUGAAUACGUUCUCGAGCCUUGUACACACCGCCCGUCACACCAUGGAAGUAAAUUGUAUCAUAAGUAAUUUUAAUAUUGCAAAGGUAUGAUUUGUAACUGGGGUGAAGUCGUAACAAGGUAGCUGUAGGGGAACC
rnacentral:rRNA from 1 species